AACGUAGGAGACAAACGUUAUCCGGAGUUACUGGGCGUAAAGGGCGUGUAGGCGGUUUGUUAAGUCUGGCGUGAAAGCUCUCGGCUAAACCGGGAGAGGUCGUUGGAUACUGGCAAACUAGAGGACGGUAGAGGCGUGUGGAAUUCCAGGUGUAGUGGUGAAAUGCGUAGAGAUCCGGAGGAACACCAGUGGCGAAGGCGACACGCUGGGCCGUACCUGACGCUAAAGCGCGACAGCAUGGGGAGCAAACGGG
rnacentral:rRNA from 1 species